rnacentral:rRNA from 1 species
CCUACGGGUGGCAGCAGUGAGGAAUAUUGGUCAAUGGGCGUAAGCCUGAACCAGCCAAGUCGCGUGAGGGAUGAAGGUUCUAUGGAUCGUAAACCUCUUUUAUCAGGGAAUAAAGUGUGGGACGUGUCCUGUUUUGUAUGUACCUUAUGAAUAAGGAUCGGCUAACUCCGUGCCAGCAGCCGCGGUAAUACGGAGGAUCCGAGCGUUAUCCGGAUUUAUUGGGUUUAAAGUGUGCGUAGGCGGCCUGUUAAGUCAGCGGUGAAAGUCUGUGGCUCAACCAUAGAAUUGCCGUUGAAACUGGGAGGCUUGAGUAUGUUUGAGGCAGGCGGAAUGCGUGGUGUAGCGGUGAAAUGCUUAGAUAGCACGCAGAACCCCGAUUGCGAAGGCAGCCUGCCAAGCCAUGACUGACGCUGAUGCACGAAAGCGUGGGGAUCAAACAGGAUUAGAUACCCCAGUAGUC